rnacentral:rRNA from 1 species
GACGAACGCUGGCGGCGUGCUUAACACAUGCAAGUCGAACGAAGUGGCGAACGGGUGAGUAACGCGUAAUCAACCUGCCCUUCAGAGGGGGACAACAGUUGGAAACGACUGCUAAUACCGCAUACUGAAGGAGGGGAUUGCGUCUGAUUAGCUAGUUGGAGGGGGAACGGCCCACCAAGGCGAUGAUCAGUAGCCGGGCUGAGGAGAUGGACGGCCCCAUGUGGACUGAGAAACGGGCCAGACUUCUCCGGGAGGCAGCAGUGGGGAAUCGUCCGAAAUGGACGAAAGUCUGGCGGAGCAACGCCGCGGGAGGGAUGACGGCCUUCGGGUUGUAAAGCUCUGUUAAUCGGGACGCGGUACCGGAAGAGAAAGCCACGGCUAACUACGUGCCAGCAGCCGCGGUAAUUC